ensembl:lncRNA
GCUUUCUUAACCAUUUAACCAAGUCCUGAUGACUUCCUGUUACAAAGCGCCGACACUGGAGAUUCCUCCCUUUUAACAAAAAACAAAAAAAACUUUCACAAACGUGUCCUUACGUCAGACUUCACCAUCUCACCGAUGAUACGUUUUCCGUCAUUAAAUGCCGUCUCGAGUUGUGUAGAGCGUCCCUGUGAAUUAGCCGUUACUAUAGAAACGAUAACGUUUCUAUAAGGAGCGGUAGGCUACUGUAAACCAAUCAGAUUUGAGAUGAGAAGAAUGGAAAUCUGUGCGCUAACCGUAUCGCAACACGGAGGCCUGGUUCCUGUCGGCAAACGUGCUGUUAACGUUUAUUCGUAAUUGAACUCUCACGCAGGUUUAUACUGUGUCGUAGAGCAUCAGCGAGUUCAUGUGGAGUCCGUAACGUGCGGUGUGUUACUCAUGCUUGCGAGGCCACCAAAGACACGGAAAGGGAACCGUUUUCCGACGUGAAUCAGACGGGAGUUUUGUAAUUGGCAGGAACUAUGGAAACUUGUGUUUGUUUGUUUGUUUAUUUAUUUUAAGUUGUUGUUUCUUUUUACUCCAGUCAGAAGAAAUGUGUUCUCAUAGCCGGAUUACGGGAUCCCGUGGUUAGGCUGCUCUCUGUGUGUGUGUGUGUGUGUGUGUGUGUGUGUGUGUUUAAAGUAGAGAGGGCAGCGCUUUUUCUUAUUCGGUUUCCAAGGUAACGUGUCCUCCGCCUGUCUGCUCGCCUGCUCUGUUUGCAUGUGAAAUUUCCCUAGAGAAGCUCAGACAGUUGUAUUGCUGACUUGCGGAAAUCUUGGAAGUUUAGCCAUUUGGCGAAGUCGUGUUGUCGGUCUGAAGCGUGCGUAUUCGGCGUCAGGCGUGCGGACGUCGGUGCACGGCGUGUUCGGACGAAGCAACUUCCAGGCUCGCAGUCGUACAGAUUUGCCGACUGUUUAUUAAGUACGUAGAUGGUAGGACGAAGCACGUAAGCUACGGCGGCUGGUUUAUAGAUGCAGCGCUACGUGAGAAAAGCUGUUUAAACCUAGGAAGUAAAUGGUGGAAAUUCUACCAAGAUUUCACAGUAUGAUCAUGUCGUAAAAAUAAAAUUAAAUUAAAAUGCACAAGCUGGUGGUUAAAAAAAUAAAUAAAUAAUGAAAAACUAUAGUACAGGUUCUUGCAGUACGAACGUCUGUUAUUUUUCCACAUCCAAAUACCACAGGAUUAAACAAUAAAUCAGAUACCCUGGAGGUUGUUCUUUCUUAGAAAGACUUAAAGAUCCGUUACACUGUCAGUAUUUAUCACGUUCUGGUUAUUAGCUGAAAGAGACCGGGCGAGAGAGAGAGUGAUUAAGAGGAAAACUUGCAUGUUGAGCGAAAAGUAAAAAAAAAAAGUGAGAUUCAUUUUAAUCGCGGUUUUGUAAAAGCCAGCGUGAGGGCAAGUGUUGAUCAGUAACCACGGCUAACGGCGACAUCCCUAGAGGAGACCAGACUUGUGAAGAAUCGCUCUUUUGAGGAAAUGAAAUUAACCGACGUCUGCAUAGCGUUUUAAAUACUGACUUUAAAAUAGAAAGCACCAACGUGUGCACUCGAGAAAGGCGUGAGGAAGGAAUCAGGGGUGAGCGAUGCAACAAAUUCAUCAUGUCAGAUCUUUACCCACCUUUUAAUGUGCAACUACAAAGUAUAGGACUGAAAUAAAUAAAUAAAUAAGAAACCGAGGGGGGGAAAAAAAAUUGAAUUGCAUAGUUGUGCACACGUGUAAAGUAAUACUUUGUGGAAGCACGUGUAGAUGUUGUUACACCACUCGGGCUUUUCGGGUCGGCGUGGCACGUCUUGACUUGGCAGUAUUAUCCCCGUCUUUCUUGAUGAUCUUUUGGUUAAGCUGUGUUCCUUUUGUUGAUGUGGACGUCUGCUUUGGGUCAGUGUCGUGCUGAAAAGUCUUCAGACACCGUAAGGGUUUGGACUGAAAUCGACUGGUAUCUGUAGCUGUUCAUGAUUCCCUCCACCUUGAUAAAAUACCUGGUUCUGGUUGAAGAAAAGCAGCUCUUAAGCAUGAUGCUGUCGCCACCAUGCUUCACCACCACCAUGCUGCCACGACCACCAUGCUUCACCACCACCACCAUGCUUCCACCACCACCAUGCUUCACCCCCACCGUGUUUCACCCCCAUGCUUCCACCACCACCAUGCUUCACCCCCACCGUGUUUCACCCCCAUGCUGCCACCAUCACCAUGCUGCCACCACCAUGUUUCACCCCAUUCUGCCACCACCACCAUGCUUCCACCACCACCAUGCUUCACCCCCACCGUGUUUCACCCCCAUUCUGCC